AUGACUAUGAGCAAACUGCUUUACAAACCUGACGAAUGUUUUGCUCAGAAGCUGAUUCUUGAUUUUGGGGAAGACGCGGCCGGGGACGCAUGGAUCUCGUUUGCCGGCAGCAUGGUGAGCGGCGGGUCGCAUGCGAGGGCAAACAUGGAACGACUGUUUCCGGUUGAACUACGGCGACAACAAAAAGGACGCGUGAACUCUGCAGCAUACCAGCAGCUCUUGCAGCUUGGUGAUACUCUGCAGCAACUCCAACUCAGUGAUGCUCAAGAUAAUUGGUAUUACCCAUGGAACUCUGCUAGCUUCUCCUCAAUCAAAAUGUACCAGUGGCUGCGUAAGCAGAAUGGGGCUCACCCUUUCCUCAGAAGGAUUUGGAAGAGUGCAACCAUGUUGUGGUACAAGAAAUUUAUUUGGCUGCUUUUCUAUGGGGUGAACACCAGGAACCUCCUCCAGAGGAAGAGUUUCUAUUACCUAGCUAUUGAUGUGAGUUGUGUCAGCUAA
rnacentral:rRNA from 1 species